rnacentral:lncRNA from 1 species
CUCCUAUUUUUUGUUUACACGGUGUUGUGAACCACCAGUGUGUUUUUGUUAUUAUAUGUGGGUAUAAUUUUUCUAAAAAUGGCAUUCCUAAUAGCAUGUCUUUUGUAGUUAAUUCAAAAUUAUAUAUUUCUUCUAUAGUUAAUAUCUUAUCCAUAUUUGUAUUUUUAUAUUUUUUGCCUUAUAUGUGAUCAUGCUUCCUUCAUUAUUAAAUCUUGUUACUACUAUCGGUGUUUUUAAUUUUUCCCAUUUAUCUUCCGGUAAACAAUUGUAUUUACAUAUAUUAGCUUCUGCUCCCGUAUCUAUCAUUGGU